rnacentral:rRNA from 1 species
AAUAAGGAUCGGCUAACUCCGUGCCAGCAGCCGCGGUAAUACGGAGGAUCCGAGCGUUAUCCGGAUUUAUUGGGUUUAAAGGGAGCGUAGAUGGAUGUUUAAGUCAGUUGUGAAAGUUUGCGGCUCAACCGUAAAAUUGCAGUUGAUACUGGAUGUCUUGAGUGCAGUUGAGGCAGGCGGAAUUCGUGGUGUAGCGGUGAAAUGCUUAGAUAUCACGAAGAACUCCGAUUGCGAAGGCAGCCUGCUAAGCUGCAACUGACAUUGAGGCUCGAAAGUGUGGGUAUCAAACAGGAUUAGAUACCCUGGUAGUCCACACGGUAAACGAUGAAUACUCGCUGUUUGCGAUAUACGGCAAGCGGCCAAGCGAAAGCGUUAAGUAUUCCACCUGGGGAGUACGCCGGCAACGGUGAAACUCAAAGGAAUUGACGGGGGCCCGCACAAGCGGAGGAACAUGUGGUUUAAUUCGAUGAUACGCGAGGAACCUUACCCGGGCUUAAAUUGCACUCGAAUGAUCCGGAAACGGUUCAGCUAGCAAUAGCGAGUGUGAAGGUGCUGCAUGGUUGUCGUCAGCUCGUGCCGUGAGGUGUCGGCUUAAGUGCCAUAACGAGCGCAACCCUUGUUGUCAGUUACUAACAGGUGAUGCUGAGGACUCUGACAAGACUGCCAUCGUAAGAUGUGAGGAAGGUGGGGAUGACGUCAAAUCAGCACGGCCCUUACGUCCGGGGCUACACACGUGUUACAAUGGGGGGUACAGAGGGCCGCUACCACGCGAGUGGAUGCCAAUCCCUAAAACCCCUCUCAGUUCGGACUGGAGUCUGCAACCCGACUCCACGAAGCUGGAUUCGCUAGUAAUCGCGCAUCAGCCACGGCGCGGUGAAUACGUUCCCGGGCCUUGUACACACCGCCCGUCAAGCCAUGGGAGCCGGGGGUACCUGAAGUGCGUAACCGCGAGGAUCGCCCUAGGGUAAAACUGGUGACUGGGGCUAAGUCUAACCAAGGUAA